ensembl:lncRNA
CGCCAAUAUCAGAUAAUAUGCUGUUCCCAAAUCCCUCCAUUGUCCUCCUGCAUUUGCUGGCCACUCCCUGUAUGUGAAAUCCACAUACAAACCCUCUUGGCUCCACAGUUUCUACCUCAAAUCUGGAUUAGCCACACACAAUGCCUAGCGAAGCGACAAUAGAGGAAUUAACAAGAAGUGCUCCAGGAAAGCUUACGCCAAGCCAAUAUUCUUGGUCAGAGCAAAAAGGUUCAUGUGACAAAAUGGGGUUUGGAAGAGAAAAACACCCAGGGAUACAAAGCAGCCAGCACUGCUGAUCUCAGCUCAUCAUCCCCACUGUACAUUUGCGCAAAUCUGGUUCAGAAGCAGUCUAUACUCUCUUGCUGCUGAUGCUAUUGAUGCUCGAUGCUCUGUUGAUGCUAGCCCUGAACAGUCACUUGCUUAAAGCAUUACAGUUUCCCUUCACUGGAACUAAGAGGCACAAACCUUUUCCAGCAUGACAACGCUCCUGUGCACAAACGAGCUCCAUGAAGACCUGGUUUGUCAAGUUUGGAGUGGAAGAACUUGAAUGCAGGACAGAGCUCUGACCUCAACUCCACGGAGCACCUUUGGGAUGAACUGGAAGUCCACAGCACCCCAAACCUCCUCGACAAACAUCAGUACACUCUUGUGGCUGAAUGAACACAAAUGACCACAGCCAUGCUCCAAAAUCUAGUGGAAAGCCUUCCCAGAAGAGUGGGAGUUAUUAUAAUAGAAAAAGGAGACGAAAUCUGGAAUGGGUUGUUCAUGAAGCACAUAUGGGCGUCGAUGUCAGGUGCCCACAAACUUUGGACGCAUGUUCUAUAUGAAACCCAGUAUGGUUCUACUCAGGAUCUCUUUAAGGGUUCCCCCAAAGGGUCAAGACAAAAGCUUUAACUAUAAAUGGACAGUAAGUGAUGGAGCGAUAGAGUACCAGCAGAGAUGGGUAGAGUAGCCAAACCUUUUACUCAAGUACAAAUAAAACUACUUGUAAAAAUAAUUACUCAAGUAACAGUAAAAGUAAUAACUACAUGAGUAAGAGUAAUAAAGUAUCCAA